UAAAAAAACCCCAGCCACCCGGAAUCAGUCUCAGCCCACUCCCGUGCGUGCUGGAUAGGGUUCCCCGCCACCCUCACCGGUCGCCGCCGCCCUCACCGGUUGCCGCCGCCGUCGGUUUCCCCUACAUGGCUGGAGGAUAGGCCAUCCCGCCGGUCCAUUCCCGCCCCACUGUGAGGGAGGAGACUGACCAGUUGCUCCUCCCCGCCGGUCGCCACCCGCCACCCCAAGGAUCAAGGCCGGCCGCGCCGGUCCCUGUCGGUCGCUGCUCCGGAUCCAGGCCGCCCACCGCCCCGCCCCCGUUUGCCCGAUCUAUUUCCCACCGGAUCCCAUCUUCGCCGCCGUCCGACGCGCCUUCUUCAAGGAGCUGCGACCCCAUGUCUCAGAGGAGCUAGCCCCGACGCCAUUGAUGCCCGAGCGACGCUCCCAAACUAGGAGCGGCACCAGGACAACCACGCCCCCGAAGCCUAAACUGCAAGUUUAUUUUCAGAGUACUUGUUGUGUGCAAAAUCCUACCCUGGCGCAUGUUGUUGGUUGUUUAAUUCUGGAAUCACAAGUUAAUGCAUUUUGCUAUGUGGGUACCCAGCCAUCCAGUAUGUCGUCUGCAUUCCUAAUGGCUCUUCUAUCCGUGCAUCAACACCAAUAUUGUAUACAAGCUUUCCAAUCGCCACAACAUCUUGGUCUGGAAGGACAGAAGCGGCGUGAGAUUUCUUAGAUUUUGAUGGAUACAUGCACAAUGAGGAUGAUGCCAAAUUUGGGCAACUACAUUGCCGUCUCACCCCACUCACCCUCAGGUUUGUCUUCUGCCUUUUUCUGUUCUAUUCUAAUGGUACUUGAUGCUCCCUGGAUGGAAUUAGUACAUGAAUGUUGUUUGAAGUGUGAGCUUGGAUUCAGGUCGAUUGGCUGAGUAAGUGGACUAAAAUUAAGCAAACAUAUUAUAUCUUCCAGUUUCGGUGAGAUCAUGCACACAUCAGCAUAUAUACUCUCAAGCUAAGCCAUUUUUUUACUUCCUAUGACUACACUAAUAUCAGAGAAUCAGUUCAUACAGUGUUGAGUAAAAAGAAUGUGUGUAUCAGCCUGCUAAUGUGGCCUCUCGGAAUUUGGUGUAUACGUUUCUCUAAAUAGAGUCAUGUUGGUCAUAUUGCAAUUUAUAGCUUGGGCUAUUACAACUGUACCGCGAGGAAAAGAUUGAUCAAUUUAUCCUCUAGUAGAUAUAUUAAUAUUGCAGUUAAUAAUCCUCAAGUCAUUGCAACAUAGAGUGUAUGAACAUGCAGGCUUCAAAAUAGCAUAUAAUUGAUCUAUUGAUUCAUUAGCAGAAUAUUGUCUAGGUAGUUUCAUGUGAUUUCUACCUCUAAAAACGUUCUAUAGGAUUUCUCAGCCUGAAAAUUACUAAGGAGUCUCCAUGUGACCGGGAUAGAUAGUAUGAGCUUCCGAGAAAUGAGAACAAACUAAACUUCAGUCUGACCAUUCUAUAUCAUUUUUGGAAUAUAUAUUUAGAAAGGGUGAUCUUUUUGAGGGAAAACAAAGGGUGAUCUUGAUUGAUUCCCCUAACUAGGUCCCUGUUUUACUGAAUUAACAUAAUUGGGCCUUUAUGCAGUACUUGGGGAUCACUUACAGGGUCGUAUUAGAUUUUUCUGAAGAUACCAACAAAUAAAUAUAUGGUCCCCUUGAUUGAGUUUUUUAUGUAGGAAUUAUGGCGGACAUAAAUCCAUAAAAAUACCAUAAGGAUUUCUUGAUCUAUAGGACUGUUUUGAAAUAAAAUACUUCCAACGAUUACUUAUAUUGAACAACAUUUUAGAGGGCAAUUUCCAUCGACUCAAAUCUCUAUGAAAAAACAGUUUUUUCACCAGGCAAUCGUAAAAGUUCAAUGCAAAUUAAAUUAUGUGUUUUUAAUAAAAGUCCAAUCUGAGAUCUUAUGUUUUCCAUAUUUCAUUACAAACCUGUGAAUUCCAGAGGCAUGUCGUUGCACAAAAUCUGUAAAUUAUUACAUCAUCAAGAUAAUGCUCUGUUCAUGCUACGAAUAUUAAUCAUCUCUGUUUAUGUUGAAUACAAUCUUUGCUAAGAGUAACUUGCCAAUUGCACUUUAACGAAAAUCAUUCCUCUAUGUCACUAUUAGAAAAUUCAUGUGUUUAAUUAUAUCAUCCUAAUUGUCCAUUGCAUGUUCCUAUUGUAGACAUUAAAGGUGAAAAGUUCUGUGUGUACAACACUUUUCUGUCGGAUCCCUAUACGGAAUUGAUCCUGUGGUGUGCUCUGAUUUGGAUCUGAGUAUGAAUGGUUCAAUGGUGCCGGUGUACGCCCAUCGGACGGAGAACAUCGUACACAUAUCAAUGCUCAAUACUGAUAGUACCAUAACUGUCGCAUAUCUGCCAACGUCUAGAUGCAUCCUUUGUCCUCAAUUUUUGUGCACAUAAUCGUAGUUUGAGGUGCAUUUCGUUCUUAAAAAAUGUUGUAGUGUGAGCAAGCUUCAGAAGCAUAGAUGUUCACAAAAGAUAAAAAAUACUUGGUGGUGACGAUUAUCUAUGAAACAGCACUAGAGGCUAUGGCAAAGACAUACGCCCUAUCUUAUCCCCGCAAUGUCUAUAAGCUUCAUAUGAUUAAAAAUGUUAUAUUAUAUUUGGUCAACAUGUUGUGAGAAAUUCAUAUCUAACAUAGUAAAUUGUUUAAAGAAAACAUGGGUAAUUGUUUGUUAGAUACGAAAAUGAAAAUUGACGGGUGCUCAUUAUAGUUAGUUGUUUACAGUUUAAUUAAGAUGGCAUUGGUACAGUGAACAUCACAGGUCAGUAUUAAUUACUAUGGUAUUUGUAUGACACACUCACACUAACAUCCAUAAUACAUAAAGUAAAUACAAUUUAAUUAUUACAAGUUUGCACAUGUAGUGAAUAUUACAACAUUCGUCGGCACUUAUUUUUCUUCCAAGGUGCUAGCCCGUGCAGGCGCACGGGUUGACGACUAGUAUUUACUAAUUGGAGGCACUAUUCGAGACACCACGUUAAUCCUAGAAAACUUAACAAAAUCAUCCAUUCGAUCUGAGAGUUGCACCUCUGGAGCCGUUAGAUGAAAUCCCUCAUAGAGUCAUCACGAACUAUCCCACGUAAGGAGUUCUUUCCGAGCCUACAAAAAAACAUGUUCGUCUCUCCUUGUAAAAAUUAUCUCCGUCUGACAUCUUUCCCAUCUCUUCUACCCAGCCCCGAUCUCCCUCCUCCGCCAAGAAAACAGCAAGCAACACCAGCCCUUCGUCAACUCUAAUAGUACUGCUGGGCAUGGGGCUCCAUUGUCAUAGGCCCCUGGGGCCUUAACGGGCGCAUGGGUUUGGGCGGAGCCCUGGGCGGGUGCUCGCCCAGCAGGGCUGCCAAGGCCAUGGCCACGACCGGCCACAGCGGGAGUUGGCCGGCGAGCGACGACCGACGGAGGCAGCACAGGGGCGAAGGAGGCGGGCGCGGCCAUCGGUGGGCUCGAGCGGGAGCGGAUAGAGGUGCGGGGUCAGACCCCUGGGCGCAGGCGAGCACCUAGAUCGAGCGAGGGAGGUGGGGGACAUGCGAGAGAGAGAGAGAGUGGGGGAUCGAGGGGAUCGCGCGGGGGGAGUGGGGGUGACGCUAGGGUUUCGGGCACCCGAGGGGGUUAGUAGAAGGCGUGGUUGGGCCGGCCUAGCGGCCUGGCAGCCUGCUGGGCCGGCCAAGUGAGGGGCGAGGGCCUCUCCCCUUUUGUGUCUUUUUUGUUUGUUUGCUUCUUUGCUUUUAUUUACUUUGCCAUUUGACUUAAUUACAAAUUUUGAAUC